AAUCAACGCUGGCGGCGUGCCUAACACAUGCAAGUCGAACGAGAAAGUGGAGCAAUCCAUGAGUAAAGUGGCGACCGGGUGAGUAACACGUGACUAACCUACCUUCGAGUGGGGGAUAACCUCGGGAAACCGAGGCUAAUACCGCAUAACAUCCUUGGGUCGAAAGAUCCGAAGACCAAAGCAGCAAUGCUCUUGAAGAGGGGGUCGCGGCUGAUUAGCUAGUUGGCGGGGUAACGGCCCACCAAGGCGAAGAUCGGUAGCCGGCCUGAG
rnacentral:rRNA from 1 species